AGGCCGCCUUCGGGUUGUAACCUCUUUUGGCAGGGAAGAAGCUUUUGGGACGGUACCUGCAGAAAAAGCACCGGCCAAUUACGUGCCAGCAGCCGCGGUAAUACGUAGGGUGCGAGCGUUGUCCGGAAUUAUUGGGCGUAAAGAGCUCGUAGGCGGUUUGUCGCGUCUGCUGUGAAAUCCCGAGGCUCAACCUCGGGCCUGCAGUGGGUACGGGCAGACUAGAGUGCGGUAGGGGAGAUUGGAAUUCCUGGUGUAGCGGUGGAAUGCGCAGAUAUCAGGAGGAACACCGAUGGCGAAGGCAGAUCUCUGGGCCGCUACUGACGCUGAGGAGCGAAAGGGUGGGGAGCAAACAGGCUUAGAUACCCUGGUAGUCCACCCCGUAAACGUUGGGAACUAGAUGUGGGGGCCUUUCCACGGUCUCCGUGUCGCAGCUAACGCAUUAAGUUCCCCGCCUGGGGAGUACGGCCGCAAGGCUAAAACUCAAAGGAAUUGACGGGGGCCCGCACAAGCGGCGGAGCAUGCGGAUUAAUUCGAUGCAACGCGAAGAACCUUACCAAGGCUUGACAUAUACCGGAAACGGCCAGAGAUGGUCGCCCCGUAAGGUCGGUAUACAGGUGGUGCAUGGUUGUCGUCAGCUCGUGUCGUGAGAUGUUGGGUUAAGUCCCGCAACGAGCGCAACCCUCGUUCUAUGUUGCCAGCACGUUAUGGUGGGAACUCAUGGGAUACUGCCGGGGUCAACUCGGAGGAAGGUGGGGAUGACGUCAAAUCAUCAUGCCCCUUAUGUCUUGGGCUUCACGCAUGCUACAAUGGCCAGUACAAUGGGCGGCGAUACCGUGAGGUGGAGCGAAUCCCAAAAAGCUGGUCCCAGUUCGGAUCGUAGUCUGCAACUCGACUACGUGAAGUCGGAGUCGCUAGUAAUCGCAGAUCAGCAACGCUGCGGUGAAUACGUUCCCGGGCCUUGUACACACCGCCCGUCAAGUCAUGAAAGUCGGUAACACCCGAAGCCGGUGGCCUAACCCCUUGUGGGAGGGAGCUGUCGAAG
rnacentral:rRNA from 1 species